GUACUUGCUUCGGCAGCACAUCUACUAAAAUCGGAACAGUACAAAGAUUAGCAUGGCCCCUGCACAAAGAUGACACACAAAUUUGUGGAGCCUUUCAUAUUUUU